UUCGAUAGUCUUGUUUUACGGAUCCGUCUUGUGCCUUUUUAGGUGCGUGGUGGACAUACGGCGAUCACUGUGUUCCCAACAUSCCAAGUGCAUUGGUGUUUGGUUGUUGUGGCCCAUGGUGUCUCUGCUUGUUCUCUCGGAUGCAGAAAGCUAAUUGUGGGCGUGAGGUCUCGACCUU
rnacentral:misc_RNA from 1 species